AUGAAUCUGGUGGAAAACAAAACUCUGCGCUCGCAUUUACGCGACGAGGAGGCUCUGGUGGUAGAAAACGCCGUCAGAUUAGCCAUAGACUCGGUAUUAAACGUGCUGUACGGGGUGAACAGCGCCAGGACUCGGGAGUACCAGCGGAUGGUGGCCGACAGGGACAAAGAGAUCCAGCGGCUGGAGAGUAGGCUGACGGAGCUGGAAAACGAGCUGCAGGUGCUGCGUCGACACGGCUGCACGUGCGGACUGUUCGAGAACAGAGUCCGGAGCUCCGGUAACCGGCAAACCGGAGAGCAGAGCGGGUUUGAAUCAGGAGAAGGGGACUGCGCAGGAUCAGGGCCACAGGAGUGUGAAAUGAGGUUGUCGUUGGGCGUUUUUGCACGACCCCCCUCUCACGUCUCCUCCCAAAGCCACGAGUCGGUUCUUCUGUCUUCCCCCAGCCAACUGGGCCUGGACCCGACCUACACCUCCCGCUCCUCCGAGGCUUCAGGUGUCACAGAGGCAGCCAGACACCUGACUACGCCUCCCAGCAGCCUCGUCGUCAAAGAAGAACCCUGUGAAGUGGAUGCUGUCCUAGUCAAGUGGGAGAUGAGUGAGGAGAGAGUCGCAGAGGCUCAGGAGAGGGCAGACGUCCUGUGUCAGGACGAUUCGAGUCUCGGCGUAAAACAAAAACCAGAAAGCAGUGCGAAGAAGAGCAAAGAGAAACCUCAAGCAGACCCUGGUGAAUUACACGUCAUCGGAGGGGAACAGCUAAGGAACAAGAAGAGGGUGGUGCCGAUGUCCGAGCUGCCGGAGGAGGCUCAGAGACUCAAGAGAGCCGCUUGGAGAGCAGCUUCCAAACGAUAUUAUGCUCGAAAAAUUGCCCGCCAACGAGCUAACCCCCAGCGCUCCGUCCCCGUUGCUCCCAUCACAAACUCCCGGGAAUUUCAGCCCAACUAUUUCAUGGACAGGAGGCGGAGGAUGCCGAUAUCGGGGUUACCCGAGGAGUCUCAGAUGCUGCAAAGGGAGGCAUGGAGAACCUCCUCCAGGAGAUACUACGCUCAGAAAGUGACUCGUCACCAGACUGGGAACAUGCAGAUCGGACACAUGGUUGAGAACCUGAACCCAUCUGGAGCCCCACAGGGGCCGACCAGGGAGGGGCUCCACGGUAACGGUGGGGGGAUCCUGUGCAGCUGAUCAUCUGGAGAUCCUCAGCUCUGAGAGACGUAACAGAAAGCAGGAGUUCUGCAUCAUGAUAAGGGCUCUCUGUGAGGCUAUCGCCAUGGUAACAGAGGCUAAACUCAUCACCUGGAAAGAGCUCAACCUGUUUGUUUGUUUGUUUUAAUAGAAAAUCUUCAAAAUUGUAUAAAAAAUAACUCAAUCUGCACAUCAGACAGCUUCGGAUUUAGUUAUUUAACCUUUAAAAAGCUGAUUUAAUAAUAAUCAUCAGAUCUAAUAAAAUAAGCCGCUGGUUUCUGGUCCUAGAUGAAAAAUCUUCUGUUCAGUGAUAAACCUCCUGCACUUGUUUAGCGCCUUUCUGAGAACCUUACCCCACGGAGAGUCAUUCUGAAGCCUGUUAUUUAUUUUGUUCCAGCAUCAGAAUUCUAAUAAACUCUACAAGCCACAAAGCUGCAAAAAUGUAAAACUGGUUAAAGUGUCAGGAUUGUUUCUCAGGAUACAACUAUAAAUGAAACCAGGUGUUUUUCAGGUUUUCCUAAACUUCUCAGACUGAAUCAUCCUCGCCUUCAUCAGAGAAUAUUUAAUAAUGGUUCCAGUGAUGUGAUGAGUUACACGUGAGGAUGAUCCGCUGAUCCAUGAAUUUGGACUGUCGGUAGGCCUGGGACGAUGAACGAUAUAAUGUCCCACAAAUUAUUAAACUAUAUUGUCGAGACCAAAAUAACCACUUAUGUGAUGUUAAUACAUCAUAAUAAUGCAAUUACACCCUUUAAAUUCAACAAUUAAAUAUUGAAAUUACAGAAGUGAAUUUUUUUCUGCAGCAAUGAAACGUCUGAGCUUCACUUGUUUCCUUUGAGGUCGUAGAGAUCUACGUUAUGGAUUGUAGAAAAUUUCUGAAAGUGCCGCUCUCUAGCCUUCACAUUUUUAUCCCUGCAAGGGUUCAUCCUUGUUCUGCGUCAGCUGCAGCUGACCCUAGCAACGCGACUCGUACACCUAAAACGGCGCUGAGGGGGUGUGGUUGACAUGCAGGUCACGUGUCUGACAAAGGCUGGUGUAUCAAGGCUGGAAAAAUUAUUGAGUUAAUUUUCAUCUAUUGUACGAUUAAUGGAUUUGAUCAGCCCUGUCCAUUGGUAUGAAAAACCUCUGAGAUGAAAAUGUUCUUAUAGUUGUAGUCUUCAGCAGCAGAGCCUCCACAAACCAGGACAAACAUCAUUUUAAGGUGUUUCUGAUCUUAUUUCAUUGUUCAUUUAAAACAAUCAUAAAUAUUAUUAAACAACCUGUUAAAAGAGUGGGGGAAAUGACAUACUUAACUAAUAUAUUUCUUGGGGGACAAGGCUGGGACAUGUGGCUAAACAUGUCCUUGUCCUUGACUCAGGAGGAGCAGAAACCUGUUAGCAGGAGGUAAACAAAGGCUUUGCUACUCUGUACUAGCCUAGUGAACAGAACUAGACCAAAUUCUUGCUUUGCAAAGUUUUAAAUAAUACAUUUAUUUAGUCUGGCUUGCCAGGCGAACUCCCAACUUGGUGUGUUUUCAUGUCUGUUCCAAACGGAGUGUGUUAUCAGGCUGAUCAGGUAAAUAUUUACAUGCAAAUUUCACAUAAAACCAAGUUUUUACAAUCAAGAAAAAUCUUAUUUUAGUCAGAUUAUUAGGUCCUCCUGAUCCGUGUGUGUGUGCGCGCGCGCUCGUGUGCAUGCAUGCAUGCUGCGCGAUUUCUGAUUAAAGCUGGGAGUUGGCUUGUUCCAGUGUGGCGCCCCCUGGAGUCCAGCACCUGCUUCUACAAGCUUUUUGAUUCAGUCUAAUAAAGUUCCCAGCUGAGUUUGUGUUAAUAAUCACUGUUUGUGUUUGGGAUACUAUGUACCGUUUCUAAAACGUUUUUGUGAAAAAGCUAAAUAAAUAUAUUUGAUUCAAAUGAAAACGAGUUUUUUAGGACAGUGUCUUUUUUUCAGUUCCUCCCAAAUUCUUUUCCACAUUUACAGAUCUAAACAUGUGAGAAACGAAAACAGCAGCAAUUUUUUUAAAGUUUAUUGAUUUUAUUGACAAUACAAUAAAAGAAAAACAUCUAAAUGAUGUGAGAAAACACAUUUCUAAGGUGUUAAACAUAGUGAAUCGUUUUUGCUCCAAUAACUAAAAAGAUUCAUGAGUUUUAGAAAUAAAUCUAAAUAAAAAACAAGGCUGUUUGUUUUCAUUUACCUGGUAUUUUGGGUGUGAGUUCUGUCAUCAGAGCCUCGUGUCUGCGGGUUUCAGACCAUCAACAAGCUCUCCUGCGUGCACACAAACACACACAGAAAAACAAAGAGGGGAUAAAAACCAGACGCGUCUUGCGCCACAUGCUUGUUACCAUGACAGCUGCACAUUCAGGCUGGCGCACAGCUGCUGAUCUUGCACAGGUCAAGUUCGCUCUUUAGCGUCACAUCUGACUGCAUGCUGCUGUUGAUUCCUCCAUAACUGAAACGUGAGCCGGUCUUCUCUUCUCUGCAGCUGCUGCGGCAGAUGCACAAACAGGCGCAAUGAAGCUGCGUCUGUUCUAAGUAAAGACUGGUGUGUUUGCGCCAUCAGCGCCGCGAUGCUCUCAGGCGCUGCUACGGACAUAAAGCGGCUUUUAUUUCUAAAGGACAGAGCUCUUUUAUGUCUGCUUCAUGCUGAUGUCAGACAGAACAGCAGCGCGCUGUUCCAUAUCAGAGAGGGGACGCAUGUGCGGGGGUCCAAUGCCCGCUGCGGGAUCGAGAUCAGGUCUGGGCAAGCGGGGAGGCCGACACCCAUCCCGACAGUCUGUUUUAUGUCUGAUCGUGUCUUUAUGUUGUGACUGAAUAUCCGGCUGGGUGGGGGAAGCAGGAUCCUGGAACGGGAACCAGCGUCAUUUGCAUGCGUUUUGUUUUGGAGGAAACAUCUCCAAACCGUCAAGCGGAGCUCCACCUGGGGUUUCCGCGGUUUGUCUGGGUGGAUUCUGUGUCUCGGAGCAGAAUCUGUGUGUUUUAUUUUAUUUUUCUGUGUCUGAAUGAGGCAACAGGCGAUGAGAGGACCGUGGCGCACGGACUGCGUUCACAGCUUGGACCGCUCCUCCCUGCUCCCCUUCAGGCGGACUCAUUAUUUCUCUUUUAUCAUCUGGAUUUAGGCUCCUGCAACACAUAUUAUAUUGUUUUUCAAAUUAAAAUGAUAAAUAUUUAAAAUAAAUUCCGAUUCAGUCGUCAGAGCUACGGCGCCAAUUUGAAUUUAGCACAGAUUUGACUCUGGAGCAGAUGUUCACAUUAUUUUAACACAUAUUCGAUUUUUUUCAAGAUAAAUGAUCAGUUUUGGACUAAAUGAUAAUGUUUGCCUUUAAAGUUGGAUGAGUGCAUCAUUUCUUCCCCUCUUGGAGCCUUUGGAGACUUUUCUGUGCCUUUGGAGACACCAGUGCACUUUUGGAGAGGUCUGCUCUGGAUCCGAUGCGCUCUUUAGAUAUCGUUGGAUUUUAUCCUCGUGGAAGCAUUUUUCUUCGCUUUUUUAGUCUAGUCCUCAAGAAAACACUCUCCUUUUUCUGUUAAGUCCCAUUAUUUUGGCAUUCUGAGCCUACCAGAGAUGCACCAACGUUUGGAAACGUACAGAACACAUUUGAAAGCUUCUCACUGUUCAGUUACGCACUCGGCCAAUAACAGCUCAUCUGAGAACUGCGUGACUAUUGGAUGGAGCACAAGAAGUGAAGUUUUCAAAGG
rnacentral:lncRNA from 1 species